GUUUAAUGAGCGGGGCUUGAUCGGCUUGGAAAUGGAUUGGCCACUUCGGCUCUGCAGGCUGCAAGACACCCGUCAGAGUGAAUGAGUGACUCCAUAAACCCGGCCUCUGUGGCUAAACAGCUGGGGCAAAGCAUUCUGAAACUCCUCAGAGCCCCGCAGGCUUCCCCUAAAAUAUUUACGGGAAGCAGCAACGUGGCAAGCCCAGGCUUGGAAAUUUUGGAUGAAGGCUAAGAAAGAAGCUACAAAGGGGCCAGCUGGAUCACGUCUAGUAAAUCUCCCAGAAUUUCCUUUCUUUAUCUGCAACGAGCAACAAGGGGUAGACAGUGAGGAUGUGAGACACCUGGCCACUGGCAGAGUGGAAAACAGCUGGGAUUGUGUUCCAAAUGCUGCUCCAGCCUACAGCCCUUCCCUGGGGCAGAAGCUGGCUUUCAGAAAGCUCUCCAGGAAAACUUGCCCUAGCAUCUCACGUGUCUAGAAGUGUCUCUAAAUCAAAGGCAUACAAUGAGACUCUCGGCUGAAGGAACUGAUGCUGAUCCCUGGGGAGAGACCACUUUCAGGCCCGCAGAGGGAAGCAGGGGAGCUGAGAGGAGCUUUGGGGCUGUUUGCGCCCUCCUCCGGACAUCAAUGGCAUAGUGAUGGUUUGAAGUUCCCCAGCUGCCCUUUCACAGACAGGGUCUAUGACUUGACUGUGGCGCUGAUUUCCAUAUCCCAGGGAUCUUCCUGCCUCCACUUCCCCAGUGCUGGGAUUGCAGACAUGUGACAUUAUGAUUGGCCUUUAUAUGGAUGCUGAGGAUCCAUACUCAAGCCAUGGUACACUUCACGGCGCACAUUACCAACUGUGUCAUCUCUUCAGCCCAAUGAACAACGUCUUUCAGAACCAUCAGUAUCGAACUCCUUUGGAAAC